GCAUGCCACCUAGACAUUAACAGAUAUUUUUUACAUCAUUUUUCACACUAUAAAAGCCCUCACCCAGAAGUAAAAAAUUGCAAAGAUUUUGAGAUUCACUUUCCUUCAUUCUAAGAGAAGACUUCAGAUCAUAACUGAGAUGCAGACAGGAGACAUGGAUGGAGCAGCAUAAGCCAUCACCAUUCAACUCGGAUCUGGUCAUCUGACAAUGGAUCCAGUUACUAAUGUGACAAUGUUUACAGGACCUGUGUGGAUUACCCUAGCUUACCCAUCCACAGAGCCCAUUAUAAUCUCUGGUGACACUACCCUGACUAUCAUAUCUCCACCCACCAUGUCACCUCGCCCAGAGUCCGUUUCACAGUAAUAACCUACCUGAAAGCUGAGAGAUGACAUACCUAAUGGACUUUAUAUUAUGUCAUGAUAUUAAUGUACUAUAGUUUACUUUUGACUAGCAUAACUCGGAUAUAGCUAUGCUUAUGUUUGUAUCACGUAACUCAUCUAGGAUUAUGAUCCACUGAUGUAGAACUUUUCUAUGGCUAGUGUGACAUAUGUAUGUGGUUGCAUCUUGUGAAAAUUAACUUUCUCAUCUCUCGCAAUAAA